GUAUGUGUUACUACAAAAAUCUUGUAAUUAUUUUGGUUUAUAGUAUUUACUAAUUAACGUACUAAUAAUUUCAUAACGUAGGAUCGUGAACGAGUUGGAACAAGUAGUAGGCAGAAACAAAAAUUCACGCACACAGCUGGGUCGAGAAGUUUUGCGUGUGUAGCUCAGGCCGAGGAAGUGUUGUCGGGUCAAAAAGUUGGACGCCUUCAACUUUUUGACAUUACACAUAGGAAGAAAGAUGGAAACCCUAUGACUCCUGAAGCUGCAGAAAUUAUGGAAAAACUGAAGGAUAAAAAGGCGGAGUACGAAGUGAUUGCUUCCAGUGAUAGUUCUGUUCAUAUUGACGACAUUGAUAACCG